AGUAGUGUAUGCUUCUCUUAAAGACUAAGCCAUGCAUGCCUUCGAAUAAGAGGAAGCAAUUCUCUCUGAAUCUGCGAACGGCUCCGCACACCAGUUGUAAACUAUUGCAAGCACACCUUGCUGUUCUUCGGAACGGCUCGGUACACGGAUAACCCUGGUAAUUCUGAGGCUAAUACGAGAACGUACAGCUCUUUCGACUAGAAAUAGAAGGAAGAGAGGUGUGUGAUCAAGCACGAAGAAGAGCUAGGAGAAGUUACACGCCUCGACUGCGCCAAAGACAAUCGGGAUUCCUCGCGUUUCUCGUUUGAGCAGCUCUUGCAUUGUGCUUCUGACCUAUCAACUAAACGACAGUGUAAUGUACGUGCAGUGGUUACAACGGGUACAGAGGAUAAGGGUUCGAUCCUGGAGAGUGGGCCUGAGAGAUUGCUCAUACUUCUAAGGAAGGCAGCAGGCGCGCAACGUUCCCCUUGUACAACGUAUGAGGGCGUUAGGAGACAUAUGAAUGUUUGCCUUUUAGGUGAACAAUUCAAAUGAGUUUGUUGUAAACAGGCUC
rnacentral:rRNA from 1 species